rnacentral:rRNA from 1 species
GCUAAGCCCUAAACAUUGACAGCUCUUAUACAAAACUGUCCGCCAGAGAACUACAAGUGAAAAACUUUAAACUCAAAGGACUUGACGGUGUCCCAUAUCGACCUAGAGGAGCCUGUCCUAUAAUCGAUACCCCUCGUUCCACCCAACCUCAACUAGCACAAUUAUCAGCCUAUAUACCGCCGUCGACCAGCCUACCCUAUGAAGGCCCAACAGUAGACACAAUAGCCCCACCGCUAAUACGUCAGGUCAAGGUGUAGCAAAUGUUGAGGAAGAGAUUGGCUACAUUUUUUGUAACAAAAAAUACGAAAAGCACAAUGAAAUUAUGCUUGAAGGUGAAUUUAGUAGUAAACUAAAUAAGAGAAUUUAUUUUAACAACGCUCUGGGACGCGUACACACCGCCCGUCACCCUCCUCAAUAAUAAAACACACUUUUUAUUAAACAAAAAUAAUUAAUAGAGGAGGU